AUCCUGAAUCACCAUCUACCUCACUUACCAGAGAUAAUGGAGAAAAACAAAUUCAUUCACAAUUGGAAAGGGAAAUGGAAGAUGGUACCCCUAUUCUCUAAAUAUAUUUGAUUUAAAUGAAGAAGAUCCCUUUAAUCACACUCACGGAGAUGCGUAACAUUAAAAUUUGUUGUGGAUAGCAGUGUCUGUCCAUGUGUUACUGAAUAAAGCACUACCGCACAACGAGUAAAUUUCAGUAUGGAAAAACAAAGAAUGAGCUUUGUCUCCUGGAAGGAAAUUCAACAGUUGAAUGACUGCAAGUCACCAAGCUCUACAGAGGCAGCCAGCUAUGAGACAUAUUCCGCUCCUGCCGGUCACCGGCUUGAGGUAAGUUGAGAAGACUGGAAGCACUGCCUGAGCUGGAAGCUGGUGGCUCUGAGCUCCCGUGUCAAAUCCUUCAUCUAAAAGUCACUGACACUUGGCCCACUCUCUCCCAUAUCCCUGCCAGCGAAUCCUACCAUCUCCUUCCAUGGGUUUCAGGGGGUGGGAAAAGCAUUAACCUCAUGGGGCCACCAACCCCCAGCACCCACCUCCUUCUCCUCUUCUGGACACUUGCAACGAAUAUCAGCCCAAUAAUAACACUGACCACGGCCAA